UAUCUACAGAUCUUUGCCAAGAAUGGUCCUCAGGAAUGAAAUGUUCAUGCUUAUUUAAGCAUUCCUUAUUUAAGAUUUCAUUCCUGAGGACUAUUUUUGGCAAAGAUCUGUAGAU